UGGGGAAUAUUGCACAAUGGACGGAAGUCUGAUGCAGCAACGCCGCGUGCGGGAUGACGGCCUUCGGGUUGUAAACCGCUUUUUCUCAUGACGAAGUUUUUUGACGGUAGUGGGGGAAGAAGCACCGGCUAACUACGUGCCAGCAGCCGCGGUGAUACGUAGGGUGCGAGCGUUGUCCGGAAUUAUUGGGCGUAAAGAGCUUGUAGGCGGUUUGUCGCGUCGAUGGUGCAAACUCAGUGCUUAACGCUGAGCCUGCUGUUGAUACGGGCAGACUAGAGGAAGGUAGGGGAGAAUGGAAUUCCCGGUGGAGCGGUGGAAUGCGCAGAUAUCGGGAGGAACACCGGUGGCGAAGGCGGUUCUCUGGGCCUUUCCUGACGCUGAGAAGCGAAAGCGUGGGGAGCGAACAGG
rnacentral:rRNA from 1 species